AUGCUCUCUUUGGCAGCACCUCUACUAAAACUGGAACCAUGCAGAGGUUAGCAUGGUCCCUGCGGACGGACGAUAGCACAUUUGUGAAGCGUUUUAUGUCUGU